AACGAUAACCCUGGCCUUCAGGCUUCUUUGCCUCCGGCUGCUUUUCGCUGAACAUGCUGAGGCGUUGACCUUCGUACACGGUGGUCUCGCAGGCACGGUUGCUCUCGGUGAGCACGCCCGCACAGACCUUCGCAGCUUCAGCCGCAUCUGACAGCGGUCCGGCAACAAGCCGCAGUUGCAUUCCCAAACCGUCGUGGCGUUCUUUCACCACGAUGAUCGGUUGCAGCGAUGCGAGCUGCUGUAAAUUGCCCUUGGUCACACCGCGCCAAAGUGCGCGAAGACCUUCGAUCGAAUUGGCGCCGCCGAGAUCGACGCCGAACUCCGUCUUGCGCACUAUAGUUGCUGACGGCAUCUCAACCGGUGCAGGGUUUUGCGGGGCGAUAGCCGCGGUCACGGUCGGAGCGGGAGGUUGAUCGGUCGCGGACGUCUCGGCUUUCUGCUCGGCCGGUUUGGC
rnacentral:misc_RNA from 1 species